rnacentral:rRNA from 1 species
UACGUAGGCAGCGAGCGUUGUUCGGAGUUACUGGGCGUAAAGGGUGUGUAGGCGGUUGUUUAAGUUUGGUGUGAAAUCUCCCGGCUCAACUGGGAGGGUGCGCCGAAUACUGAGUGACUCGAGUGUGGGAGAGGUGAGUGGAAUUCCUGGUGUAGCGGUGAAAUGCGUAGAUAUCAGGAGGAACACCGGUGGUGUAGACGGCUCACUGGACCAUAACUGACGCUGAGACGCGAAAGCGUGGGGAGCAAACAGG